rnacentral:rRNA from 1 species
GCUUACGGCCAACACCUCCCUGAGCACGCCCGAUCUCGUCUGAUCUCGGAAGCUAAGCAGGGUCGGGGCCCGGUUAGUACUUGGAUGGGAGACCGCCUGGGAAUACCAGUGCUGGAAGCC